rnacentral:rRNA from 1 species
AUCGAACGCUGGCGGCAGGCCUAACACAUGCAAGUCGAACGAGUGGCGGACGGGUGAGCAAUGUCUGGGAAACUGCCUGAUGGAGGGGGAUAACUACUAGAAACGGUAGCUAAUACCGCAUACCAUCGGAUGUGCCCAGAUGGGAUUAGCUAGUAGGUGGGUUAAAGGCUCACCUAGGCGACGCUCCCUAGCUGGGCUGCGAGGAUGACCGGCCACACUGGAACUGAGACACGGCCCAGACUCCUACGGGAGGCAGCAGUGGGGAAUAUUGCACAAUGGGCGCAAGCCUGAUGCAGCCAGGCCGCGUGUAUGAAGAAGGUCUUCGGGUUGUAAAGUACUUUCGGCGGGGAGGCGUUACCUGCCGAAGAAGCACCGGCUAACUCCGUGCCAGCAGCCGCGGUAAUAC